AACGAACGCUGGCGGCGCGCCUAAUACAUGCAAGUCGAGCGAGAAGACGUAGCAAUACGUUUGUAAAGCGGCGAACGGGUGAGGAAUACAUGGGUAACCUACCCUCGAGUGGGGAAUAACUAGCCGAAAGGUUAGCUAAUACCGCGUACGCUCCUUGGACUUCGGUUCAGGGAGGAAAGCGAUACCGUGGGUAUCGCGCUCUUGGAUGGGCUCAUGUCCUAUCAGCUUGUUGGUGAGGUAACGGCUCACCAAGGCUUCGACGGGUAGCUGGUCUGAGAGGACGAUCAGCCACACUGGCACUGCGACACGGGCCAGACUCCUACGGGAGGCAGCAGUAAGGAAUAUUGCGCAAUGGGCGAAAGCCCUGACGCAGCGACGCCGCGUGGGGGAUGAAGGUCUUCGGAUUGU
rnacentral:rRNA from 1 species